rnacentral:lncRNA from 1 species
CAAACAGUUGUGUAACAGAAAUCAGCUUGCCACAGAUUAAACUAAAUCCCACACGUAAACACAAAAGGAGAUAAGUUCUCAAACUUAAAUAUUAAGGGGGUGGAAGUCAGUCACAUCAACUGCCUUGUAACAUUUUCAUGCAAACUUUGUUGGGGUCCAUCUACCAAAAAGUUAUUUGAAGAGUUAACAACAUUUUUUCCUGACUUCCCAAAUAAUUGUGUUAGCUCUCAAACCAUUUUUAUCAAAGGCUAGAUUUCUAAAACAAGUUUGCAACUGAAUACGUCCUCUCUUGAUCCUGUGGUUUGUAACAUACAGGCUGUACGUCACUGGCUUUGGAGUCACGGACACGAUUAGAGAUACAAGCACAUACCCGAUGCACACUGGAACACAGCUGUGAUUUUUCCCACUGAGUGUACUGCUGAUGAUGGGAAACUGCAUGGACUGUGGUUAACUUGGACAGGAGAGUUAAAUGCCCAUGACACUCUUUCAGUGCCACGAUUCCAACAUGUCUUUGGAGAAACCAAGCUCCACAUGGCUUCAACUCCUGUUUCCAGUGUACCUGGCUUCAAGAGUGCUCAGAUCUCCGUCGGCAGAGUUGGACAGGAUUCCACUGUGCAGUUGCUCCCAGCUGGUUCCAGCUGUUGCUGCACGUUUCGAUCCUGUUUUUUGGUGAAGACUGUGUUUCCAGUCCUUCCUUUCCCCGCUUACAAUCCUACACAAACAGCACCGUGUGGUUUGCUGGGGAAGCUGAUAGUAUUAGUAAAGGCCAGUGG